rnacentral:rRNA from 1 species
AGAGUUUGAUCAUGGCUCAGGAUGAACGCUGGCGGCGUGCCUAACACAUGCAAGUCGAGCGGUAUAUAUCUAAACAAAACUUCGGUCUAGUGAGGGUAUAGAGAGCGGCGGACGGGUGAGUAACGCGUAGGCAACCUGCCCCAUACACAGGGAUAGCCUCGGGAAACCGGAUUAAAACCUGAUAAUGCGAGAAGUUCACAUGGACAACUCGCCAAAGAUUUAUCGGUAUGGGAUGGGCCUGCGUCUGAUUAGCUAGUUGGUGGGGUAACGGCCUACCAAGGCGACGAUCAGUAGCCGACCUGAGAGGGUAAUCGGCCACAUUGGAACUGAGACACGGUCCAAACUCCUACGGGAGGCAGCAGUGGGGAAUAUUGCACAAUGGGCGAAAGCCUGAUGCAGCAACGCCGCGUGAGCGAUGAAGGCCUUUGGGUCGUAAAGCUCUGUCCUUGGGGAAGAAAAAAAUGACGGUACCCUUGGAGGAAGCCCCGGCUAACUACGUGCCAGCAGCCGCGGUAAUACGUAGGGGGCAAGCGUUAUCCGGAAUUAUUGGGCGUAAAGAGUGCGUAGGUGGUUUUGUAAGCGCGGGGUGAAAGGCAAUAGCUCAACUAUUGUAAGCCUUGCGAACUGUAAGACUUGAGUGCAGGAGAGGAAAGCGGAAUUCCUAGUGUAGCGGUGGAAUGCGUAGAUAUUAGGAGGAACACCAGUGGCGAAGGCGGCUUUCUGGACUGUAACUGACACUGAGGCACGAAAGCGUGGGGAGCAAACAGGAUUAGAUACCCUGGUAGUCCGCGCCGUAAACGAUGAGCACUAGGUGUCGGGGCCGCAAGGCUUCGGUGCCGCAGUUAACGCAUUAAGUGCUCCGCCUGGGGAGUACGCACGCAAGUGUGAAACUCAAAUGAAUUGACGG